AGAGUUUGAUCCUGGCUCAGGACGAACGCUGGCGGCGCGCCUAACACAUGCAAGUCGAACGAGAGAGAAGGAGCUUGCUUCUUCGAUCGAGUGGCGAACGGGUGAGUAACGCGUGAGGAACCUGCCUCAAAGAGGGGGACAACAGUUGGAAACGACUGCUAAUACCGCAUAAGCCCACGGGUCGGCAUCGACCAGAGGGAAAAGGAGCAAUCCGCUUUGAGAUGGCCUCGCGUCCGAUUAGCUAGUUGGUGAGGUAAUGGCCCACCAAGGCAACGAUCGGUAGCCGGACUGAGAGGUUGAACGGCCACAUUGGGACUGAGACACGGCCCAGACUCCUACGGGAGGCAGCAGUGGGGAAUAUUGCACAAUGGGGGAAACCCUGAUGCAGCGACGCCGCGUGGAGGAAGAAGGUCUUCGGAUUGUAAACUCCUGUUGUUGAGGAAGAUAAUGACGGUACUCAACAAGGAAGUGACGGCUAACUACGUGCCAGCAGCCGCGGUAAAACGUAGGUCACAAGCGUUGUCCGGAAUUACUGGGUGUAAAGGGAGCGCAGGCGGGAAGACAAGUUGGAAGUGAAAUCCAUGGGCUCAACCCAUGAACUGCUUUCAAAACUGUUUUUCUUGAGUAGUGCAGAGGUAGGCGGAAUUCCCGGUGUAGCGGUGGAAUGCGUAGAUAUCGGGAGGAACACCAGUGGCGAAGGCGGCCUACUGGGCACCAACUGACGCUGAGGCUCGAAAGUGUGGGUAGCAAACAGGAUUAGAUACCCUGGUAGUCCACACCGUAAACGAUGAUUACUAGGUGUUGGAGGAUUGACCCCUUCAGUGCCGCAGUUAACACAAUAAGUAAUCCACCUGGGGAGUACGACCGCAAGGUUGAAACUCAAAGGAAUUGACGGGGGCCCGCACAAGCAGUGGAGUAUGUGGUUUAAUUCGACGCAACGCGAAGAACCUUACCAAGUCUUGACAU
rnacentral:rRNA from 1 species